GACGAACGCUGGCGGCGUGCUUAACACAUGCAAGUCGAGCGGAAAGGCCCUUCGGGGUACUCGAGCGGCGAACGGGUGAGUAACACGUGAGUAACCUGCCCCAGACUUUGGGAUAACCCUCGGAAACGGGGGCUAAUACCGGAUACGACACAGCUUCGCAUGGGGUCUGUGUGGAAAGUUUUUCGGUUUGGGAUGGGCUCGCGGCCUAUCAGCUUGUUGGUGGGGUGAUGGCCUACCAAGGCGACGCCGGGUAGCCGGCCUGAGAGGGCGACCGGCCACAAUGGGACUGAGAGACGGCCCAGAAUGCUACGGGAGGCAGCAGGGGGGAAUAUUGCACAGUGGGCGGAAGCCUGAGGCAGAGACGCCGGGUGAGGGAUGACGGCCUUCGGGUUGUAAACCUCUGUCAGCAGGGACGAAGCGUAAGUGACGGUACCUGCAGAAGAAGCGCCGGCCAACUACGUG
rnacentral:rRNA from 1 species